GACGAACGCUGGCGGCGUGCUUUACACAUGCAAGUCGAACGAUGAUGCCCAGCUUGCUGGGUGGAUUAGUGGCGAACGGGUGAGUAACACGUGAGUAACCUGCCCCUGACUCUGGGAUAAGCCUGGGAAACUGGGUCUAAUACUGGAUAUGACAUUCUCCUGCAUGGGAUGGGUGUGGAAAGGGUUUCUGGUUGGGGAUGGGCUCGCGGCCUUUCAGCUUGUUGGUGGGGUGAUGGCCUACCAAGGCUUUGACGGGUAGCCGGCCUGAGAGGGUGACCGGCCACACUGGGACUGAGACACGGCCCAGACGCCUACGGGAGGCAGCAGUGGGGAAUAUUGCACAAUGGGCGGAAGCCUGAUGCAGCGACGCCGCGUGAGGGAUGACGGCCUUCGGGUUGUAAACCUCUUUCAGUAGGGAAGAAGCCUUUCGGGGUGACGGUACCUGCAGAAGAAGCGCCGGCUAACUACGUGCCAGCAGCCGCCGUAA
rnacentral:rRNA from 1 species